GAGGGUAUAGCUCAGUUACAGAGUGAAUGCUUACAAUGCAUAAGGUCCUGGGUUCAAUCCCCAGUAUUUCCA
rnacentral:tRNA from 1 species